rnacentral:rRNA from 1 species
AUAACGACUCUCGGCAACGGAUAUCUCGGCUCUCGCAUCGAUGAAGAACGUAGCGAAAUGCGAUACUUGGUGUGAAUUGCAGAAUCCCGUGAACCAUCGAGUCUUUGAACGCAAGUUGCGCCCUAAGCCAUUAGGCUGAGGGCACGUCUGCCUGGGUGUCACG